rnacentral:rRNA from 1 species
GGAGGGGGCAAGCGUUGUUCGGAAUUACUGGGCGUAAAGGGCGCGUAGGCGGUUGAGUAAGUUAGAUGUGAAAGCCCUCGGCUUAACCGGGGAACGGCAUCUAAAACUGCUUGGCUUGAGUACAGGAGAGGAGAGUGGAAUUCCCAGUGUAGCGGUGAAAUGCGUAGAUAUUGGGAAGAACACCGAUGGCGAAGGCAGCUUUCUGGACUGAUACUGACGCUGAGGCGCGAAAGCUAGGGGAGCGAACGGGGAUUAGAUACCCCGGUAGUCCUAGCCGUAAACGAUGGGCACUAGGUGUAGAAGGAAGUGAUUUUUUCUGUGCCGUAGCUAACGCAUUAAGUGCCCCGCCUGGGGAGUACGUUCGCAAGAAUG